rnacentral:rRNA from 1 species
AGCAGCCGCGGUAAUUCCAGCUCCAAUAGCGUAUAUUAAAGUUGCUGCAGUUAAAAAGCUCGUAGUUGAAUUUCGGGAUUGACACAUCGGUCGUGCCUUAAGGGGUAUGAACUGGUGUAGUCAAUUUCUCACCUCCUGGAGAACCGCGAUGCCCUUAAUUGGGUGUCGCGGGGAACCAGGACCUUUACUUUGAAAAAAUUAGAGUGUUUAAAGCAGGCAUUUUGCUCGAAUACAUUAGCAUGGAAUAAUAAAAUAGGACGGCAUGAUUCUAUUUUGUUGGUUUCUAGGAUCACCGUAAUGAUUAAUAGGGAUAGUUGGGGGCAUUAGUAUUCAAUUGUCAGAGGUGAAAUUCUUGGAUUUAUUGAAGACUAACUACUGCGAAAGCAUUUGCCAAGGAUGUUUUCAUUAAUCAAGAACGAAAGUUAGGGGAUCGAAGACGAUCAGAUACCGUCGUAGUCUUAACCAUAAACUAUGCCGACUAGGAAUCAGACGAUGUUAAUUUUUUAAUGACUCGUUUGGC